rnacentral:lncRNA from 1 species
CUCUUGUUGGUCAAUGAUUGGUAACCAAUGUUCAGAUGGGGGCUUGAAAUUUAUAGACUUGAAUUUUUUAAUUUGACCUAAAUUUGUCAAAAGGCUUGAUUGAUGCAAACAAUUGCCCCGCAUAAUCUGUUCAAGUUUAUCUACUAAAUGGUUUGACUCCUUUAUUAAGUCAUCGAUGGACUGCAGCAGCGCAUACCAAUCAAUUUUCAUGGUUCCUAUAACUGAAUUGCCCCUCAAGUUAAAAGGAACCGGUUCGAAACUGCGCCACUGAUUGUAAGGCUCUAUAAUGUAAGGUAUAAAAUGUCGAUCAGAUUCCAUUUCAACUAGAUCAUCAUCGAAAUUCCACGAGUCUAG